rnacentral:rRNA from 1 species
AUUGAACGCUGGCGGCAGGCCUAACACAUGCAAGUCGAACGAGUGGCGGACGUGUGAGUAAUGUCUGGGAAACUGACUGAUGGAGGGGGAUAACUACUGGAAACGGUAGCUAAUACAGCAUACCAUCAGAUGUGCCCAGAUGGGAUUAGCUAGUUGGUGGGGUAACGGCUCACCAAGGCGACGAUCCCUAGCUGGUCUGAGAGGAUGACCAGCCACACGGGAAUUGAGACAAGGUCCAGACUCCUACGGGAGGAAGCAGUGGGGAAUAUGGCACAAUGGGCGCAAGCCUGAUGCGGCCAUGCCGCGUGUAGGAAGAAGGCCUUCGGGUUGUAAAGUACUUUCAGCGGGGAGGCGUUACCCGCAGAAGAAGCACCGGCUAACUCCGUGCCAGCCGCCGCGGUAAUUC